UGGGGAAUAUUGCGCAAUAAACGAAAGCCUGACGCAGCCAACCCGCGUGUGUGAUUGAAGGCCUUCGGGUUGUAAAGCACUGUCGUAAGGGAAGAAGUUCUGACGGUACCUUACAAGAAAGCACCGGCUAACUCCGUGCCAGCAGCCGCGGUAAUACGGAGGGUGCAAGCGUUGCUCGGAAUUACUGGGCGUAAAGCGUCCGCAGGCGGGUCAUUAAGUUGGAUGUGAAAGCCCGGGGCUCAACCCCGGAACUGCAUUCAAAACUGGUGACCUUGAGUACGGGAGAGGAGAGUGGAAUUCCUGGUGUAGAGGUGAAAUUCGUAGAUAUCAGGAGGAACACCAGUGGCGAAAGCGACUCUCUGGCCCGAUACUGACGCUCAUGGACGAAAGCGUGGGGAGCAAACAGG
rnacentral:rRNA from 1 species